rnacentral:rRNA from 1 species
UGAUGCAGCAACGCCGCGUGAGGGAUGAAGGCCUUCGGGUUGUAAACCUCUUUUAGCAGGGAAGAAGCGGAAGUGACGGGACCUGCAGAAAAAGCACCGGCUAACUACGUGCCAGCAGCCGCGGUAAUACGUAGGGUGCAAGCGUUGUCCGGAAUUAUUGGGCGUAAAGAGCUCGUAGGCGGUUUGUCGCGUCUGCUGUGAAAAUCCGAGGCUCAACCUCGGACCUGCAGUGGGUACGGGCAAACUAGAGUGCGGUAGGGGAGAUGGGAAUUCCUGGUGUAGCGGUGGAAUGCGCAGAUAUCAAGAGGAACACCGAUGGCGAAGGCACAUCUCUGGGCCGUAACUGACGCUGAGGAGCGAAAGCGUGGGGAGCGAACAGGAUUAGAUACCCUGGUAGUCCACGCCGUAAACGGUGGGUGCUAGUUGUGGGUUCCAUUCCACGGAAUCCGUGACGAAAUUAACACAUUAAGCACCCCGCCUG